rnacentral:rRNA from 1 species
UACGAAGGGUGCAAACGUUGCUCGGAAUUAUUGGGCGUAAAGCGCACGUAGGCGGCAUUGCAAGUCGGAUGUGAAAUCUUAUGGCUUAACCAUAAAAGUGCAUCCGAAACUGCAGUGCUUGAGUACUUAAGAGGAUCGCGGAAUUCCUGGUGUAGCGGUGGAAUGCGUAGAUAUCAGGAAGAACACCGGUGGCGAAGGCGGCUCGCUGGGCCAGUUCUGACACUCAUCCGCGAAAGCGUGGGGAGCAAACAGG